AAAAACUUAGUGUCGCAUGACACAAAAUUGAAAAGGCGCUUCGGCGUCACCUAGAGAUGGAUAGCGGUGCAUUAGUUAGUUGGUGGGGUAAAGGCCUACCAAGACAAUGAUGCAUAGCCGAGUUGAGAGACUGAUCGGCCACAUUGGGACUGAGACACGGCCCAAACUCCUACGGGAGGCUGCAGUAGGGAAUCUUCCACAAUGGGCGAAAGCCUGAUGGAGCAACGCCGCGUGUGUGAUGAAGGCUUUCGGGUCGUAAAGCACUGUUGUAUGGGAAGAACAGCUAGAAUAGGAAAUGAAAUUUUAGUUUGACCCUACCAUACCAGAAAGGGACGGCUAAAUACGUGCCAGCAGCCGCGGAAAUACGUAUGUCCCGAGCGUUAUCCGGAUUUAUUGGGCGUAAGCGAGCGCAGACGGUUUAUUAAGUCUGAUGUGAAAGCCCGGAGCUCAACUCCGGAAUGGCAUUGGAAACUGGUUAACUUGAGUGCAGUAGAGGUAAGUGGAACUCCAUGUGUAGCGGUGGAAUGCGUAGAUAUAUGGAAGAACACCAGUGGCGAAGGCGGCUUACUGGACUGCAACUGACGUUGAGGCUCGAAAGUGUGGGUAGCAAACAGGAUUAGAUACCCUGGUAGUCCACACCGUAAACGAUGAACACUAGGUGUUAGGAGGUUUCCGCCUCUUAGUCGCGAAGCUAACGCAUUAAGUGUUCCGCCUGGGGAGUACGACCGCAAGGUUGAAACUCAAAGGAAUUGACGGGGACCCGCACAAGCGGUGGAGCAUGUGGUAAUUCGAAGCAACGCGAAGAACCUUACCAGGUCUUGACAUCCUUUGAAGCUUUUAGAGAUAGAAGUGUUCUCUUCGGAGACAAAGUGACAGGUGGUGCUGGUCGUCGUCAGCUCGUGUCGUGAGAUGUUGGGUUAAGUCCCGCAACGAGCGCAACCCUUAUUGUUAGUUGCCAGCAUUCAGAUGGGCACUCUAGCGAGACUGCCGGUGACAAACCGGAGGAAGGCGGGGACGACGUCAGAUCAUCAUGCCCCUUAUGACCUGGGCUACACACGUGCUACAAUGGCGUAUACAACGAGUUGCCAACCCGUGAGGGUGAGCUAAUCUCUUAAAGUACGUCUCAGUUCGGAUUGUAGUCUGCAACUCGACUACAUGAAGUCGGAAUCGCUAGUAAUCGCGGAUCAGCACGCCGCGGUGAAUACGUUCCCGGGUCUUGUACACACCGCCCGUCACACCAUGGGAGUUUGUAAUGCCCAAAGCCGGUGGCCUAACCGCCGUCUAAGGCAGGCGAU
rnacentral:rRNA from 1 species